UUUUUUUUUUUUUUUUCUUCAUGAUAAACAAAAAUAGCCAUUCUUACAUCUAGGCAAAGUAACUGCUUGCAUUUUUUCCAGUCUUUGGAUCUGCCCUUAGAAUCUACCAACAGCAGUUGGAUGAUUUUUUUUUUCAAAUGGACUGGCACAGAUGACCUUGUGUUUGACUCACUGCAACUGACAGUAUUUUCUUUGGUUGAGGACCAAAUGGAAAACUAUGCUUGCUUUCUGAGACACAGGAGCUCUAUUUUGAGAAGGAAUCAGACACCAAGGGACAUAGCUAGUGUUCUCAGGCAAACCUGAGUCAGAUAAGCCCUUUCUUAAAUCCUCAAUUUCAGCCAAAAAUAAACUUCUCUAAGGUUUAAGUCAGCAUGAAAUGUGUGAUGUACCUCUUCCUUCCAGCAUCCCUAUACUGAUGGAGCAAAAAAAAGAAAAGAAAAAUAAGGGGAUAACUGCCUCUUAGAGGAUAUUCAUGAAAAUCGGGAGAAGAGUGGAAGAUGGGUACAUAAAGAAAGUUGAAGUAAUUAGGAUUCUUAUACAGAUAAAGGCAGCCAAUGGGGUGAAUUAAUUCUUGAGUAUGUAAGGGAUGAAUACCUGCAAGAUGCCAUCUGAUUUUUUCCAAUAAGGACAGAGAAAAUUAUUACAUCUGAAUUGCUGUCACUAUAACAAAAUUGGGCAGUAAGGAAAGUGUAAACAGAAGUUAAAUCAGAACUCAUCUGAUCUCUCUCUCUCUCUCAACUGGCCUGUCAACAUAUUAGGAAUCAGAUACUCUAAAGAAUACAAAACAGAUCCCCUUGUGCAUACUUUACGAAAGAAAUUUCUGAGAAUUGAUUGUGUAAUUUCUGAAAGUUCUCACUUAUUUUGAAAAUAUAAAUGGAUGGACAUAGGAGAGAGGAAAACAGUGAGGAGAUUGUGUGGAGAUGGUGGUGGUAUGCCUUGAGUCUGACACCCAGAAAGGAGUGGAUCGGAAGGGAAAGCCUCCUCUGUCAUCUCAGCCUAGACAUCAGGCUUCCUUGGGACCAUGAAGAUCCUGAAAUGAAUUAUCCUCUGUCAGGAAACACAGAGGAUUUGAUCAUGCCUCAUCCCUGAGAAGGCAAAAACAUUCUAAGGAAGAAGGAUGGACAUGAUACCGGGACUGGUCUUCAUCCUACAGCAAGAAGUAUAUAAUUUAUCCCUAUGGACCUCAUGUGAACUAAAGGGGUUUGCAGAGGGGCCCAAGAAGUGAGAUGCUAGAGAUUAAAUCCAUCAGAACUACAUCCUCCCUUCUAUUUUGUUAUGAAGACUUAAAAAAAAAAAAAGACAUCUUGGCUCUAAAAACAAAUAAAAUUGGAAGAUUUAAGUGAGACAAAAAAAGAAGUAAAUAACUUGAUUGUUCUUAGAUUUGUUCAGAGCAAGGCAAAAGAGAAAAAAAAAUCAGUUAUAAACUUUAAUGUAAGGUGCCAUACUACUGAUAGAGAAAUUAAGAGUUUUGAUGCAAACCCAGCUGUCAGACAGGUAGAAAAUAUGAUAUAGCUCUUGAGAAAAGAGAAUGCUCCUGGAACAGAUGGGCGUACCUCUGAGCUUUAUAAAGCAUUAACUAGCUGUUUAAAUAAGUCCUUAGCAGAUGUUUUCAAUGUAAUUUUGGAGGUGAAAUGGAAAAAAACAAAGUCCAAGGCACAAGGGGAAUUGAUAUCACAAAUAAGAGACAUCCUUGAAUUCAGAGAGCAAAUUAUUGUCAAAAGUUUUUCUUUUUUUUUAAAGAAUAUCCGCAGUAUUUGUAAAAUCACAAUACAUUACCAAAAUGCAAUUAAAAUAAUGUAUAUUGUGGUAUUAGCCUCUAAAAGAAGUAAAGAGACAUAUUUAAAGAAAAAGAUGGUUUACAGGGGAAGCUACGUGAGAUGUACAGCUACUCAUCUAGGACCAAAAAGGCAAGCAAAUGCCCAUAUCUCCACUGUGAUACACAGGAGAUUUGUUUUUGUAACAGUACCCUGUAUAUAAUGUUUACAUGUAGUAGAGGAGAGAUAAAUCACAAAGAGAGAAAGGAAAAGAUGCUCAUAGGUCUAUGUUGAAUAUAUGAUGUUUAUGUGUCCAAAAUAUGUAGAAAAGAAAAAGUCAUAGCACACAGAAAAUAAAGGGAACAGUGACUUUUCUCCUACAAAGGCUCACGUACAUCCAUACUUCAAAAGAUCAGCAAACAUUUCUCAGGUGCCUCUCAGUAGUACCAGCCAGUGGACUAGGUGAUGCAGAGGGAGAUGAGUAACACCCAGUCCCUACCCUUGAGUAGCUGGUCUUCCUUGAAGGCUUCUUACUACAAGUCCCUUCACCUACAAGUGCUAAAAACCCAUACCUUUACCUACCAACUUGGAGAGAUGAUAGAGGGAGGAAAAAGAUGGAGAGCCAGAGAGACUCAGGCUCCACAUGAGAGAGAGGCUAGAGCAGAAAAUGUCUAAGACCAUCACUCUGCUGGGAUGGAGACCCAUAUGUCUAACCACUCAGCACAUUCACCUCAACAAAUGACUACAUAUUAUCAUUUAGUGUGGAAAGAGAGGACAAAUGAAGAGAGAGGAGGAAGACACAUGCAUGCCUGCCAAAUCCAGGCAUGUGUGUUGAGAAAUGACGUGGGAAAACCCAGGAAUGAAAAACACACGUUUUUGACAGAAUUCACAUCAUUCAAGGGUUCAUUAAAUCCAGCACGGUGGCUUAGAGCAGAUUUUUGCUCCUAAAUAACCCAGGACUAAGCCAAGGCUUUGCCAGUCACAAGAUGUGUGACUUACAAAGUUUAUUCAUCUGCAAAAUGGGAAUAAAAACACACCCACAAAGCGUCGUGGCAAGAAUUAAAUCAGAUCAUUCACACAAAGUGUGUUUAUCAUGGUGCAUGAGACUAACAGGAGCUCAACUAAUGUUUUCUAUCAUUACCAUUACCAUUACCAAACCUGCUUAUAUUCAUGCAACUUUUUUACUUUAUUGUGUAGCUAUAUCUACCUUUCUGACCUCUCAGCGUAUCUUGUUUGCAAUGUUUAUCACUGGUGCAUUCCUGAAGUCCUUAUUGAGCAUCUGUUCUGUGGCGGACCCUGUGCUGGGGACACAGCGGGGGUCAAGACAGGUGUGGUUCCUGCCCUUGGAGUUCAAAGUUUGGGAGAAGAAUUACUAGAAACAUGAUAUUACUGCCAACAUUCUUAGCAUCAAAAAAUUUCAGAAGAAUCCUUCCAAGACUCACAGUGAUCCAAAUAGCUCUUACAAAAUGGAAGAGAAACUCUCCCCCACAGGAAAGCUAGAAGGGGAAAACAUGAGCAUGAGACAGGAUGAACACUGAUCCUGGCACUGAGUCUUCUGCGUUAAAGUAAUUCAGAUGACCACAGAUCUUGCCAUUCCACACUCCAUUUCUCUGAUGGUUCUGCUUUUCUUUACCUUUGCUGCUACUAUUCUUGUUCCUAAAUCAUCACCUACCAGGCACUACCGCUAGAGGCUCCUUAGUGCAUUCCUUAGUGCAUCAUUCCUCCAACCUCCCCUGACAGCCUUGCAAGACUUUCCCAAUCAUCUCUACCCUACUCCAAACUUGGCAACAGUCUUCCAUUACCCACAGGGCAAAAGCCAAUGACUCUCCCUGGCAAACAAAUCUGUUCAUGAACCAGACUCUUAUAUGUCGGGUCUUGCCAUUUGCUCUAACCAAAUUUUUACCCUGUUUUAAUGUCUUUCUUUUUUUAAGAUUUUAUUUAUUUAUUCAUGAGAGAGACAAAGAGAGAGGCAGAGACAUAGGCAGAGGGAGAAGCAGGCUCCCUUUGGGGAGCCUGAUGUGGGACUCCAUCCCAAGACCCCAGGAUGACAACCUGAGCCAAAGGCAGAUACUCAAACACUGAGCCACCCAGGUGCCCCAAUUUGUUUUAAUUUCUUAAAGGUUUCAAAAUGAUAAUAUUACCUCUCAUCUGUUUUUCCACAGGCCAGCCCCUCUGCCCAGAGUACUCUGUCCCUCUCUCUUGGGCUCCCUAGUAUUAUCUUGGCUCCUCAAACCUUGAUUUUAGGAAUCUUAAUGGCUUAUCACAUUUUUUCUGUGUCUAUCUCUCCACUGGAUGGCAAGGUUAAUGUCUUGCAUUUUGGUAUCCCCACAUCUGUGAUAUUGCGUAACUCUAAAUAGAUGCUCAAUGAAAAAAAUACCUGUUUUUUCAUUCAUUAUAUCUUAUUGGAUAUUCAUUGAAACUGUGCCUUUUAGAAACUAUGUGAGGCUGGCAGAGCCAGUUUGGGAUUUUUGUCCUGUUGUCAAAUGAUAAAAACCAAAAUCAAGAAAUAUUCAGAAGUGAUGGUCCAGGUAAAUAGACAUAAUGCAAGUUGUUUCUUAAACAACCUUCACAUUCUCUCUUCUACUAGUCCACGUGACCUCUGAGUAUAGGGAUGUGAAGCAAGAGAAAUAGAUUGAAUAAUAAAAGUAAAUAAUAUAGCAAGAAAGCAAAAGAAGGGAUUUGCAGGUGUAAACCAAAAAUAAAUUAGAUCAUGACCGUGAAUUUGUUAGUCACUUUCCAAAAAAUUUACUCCUAAAGAAGAAUUUUCUACACGGCUUUCCAUUCUCAAACCAAACAAAAAACGUUCAUGCUUUUUGAUCUACCUACCAUUUAAAACUUUUGUUCUUUCACUGUUUGUAGUCCUCAACUUUCAGUUUCCAAAAUGACAUCAGGUAUUCAAUUUAGCUAUAAAACAAACCUACAGCUCAGGUAGGAUGUUGCCUAUAGGAUUGCUUGGCUGGUGAUGCCCGCAGGAUUCAAACAGGGAAACAAUAUUGCUUUAAGCUACAUCCACUCUCUAGACAGUGUCACUGGUCACGGGUAGAGAGGCAAAUUCACGAGCAGCAUUGUGGGAGUUAAUGAAUGGCUGGCCAGAUGGUGCCUGUCAGAAGGUGUUGACUCUUUAGACAACUGGGACUGUUUCCUGAGAGUAAAUGAGAAGUGCAGCAGAAACGGAUUGCAUCUCAAUCACACAGAGGCAGACAGACCCACUGCUAAUGAAAAUAAUCACAUAGCCAGGCAUAGUUUUCCUCUUUUGAUUUUGUUUGUUUGUUUUAUAUGGUAGACAUGGAGGAGGAUCUCGCUGAAGAUAUAGUUUUCAUG
rnacentral:lncRNA from 1 species